AUGUACCAUAUCCACUGUUCAGUAAUCUUUUCCUUUUGGCCUGGAUUAGUCUACUCAACUGUUCCUUGUCCAGAAAGCAUGCCAGGGCUUUGCUCACCCCCAUUACCAUGCACUGAACCUUUUCCAGCCCUGCUGCGCUUUGCAAUGGGAGACCCAAGCCAUGCUCAACAUUUGAAGUGUGGGCAUGGAUUAUACAUCUCUCUUCCUUAUGGGGAUGGAUUUUAUUCCCAUUGGGGUAAAUCCCCUCAUUUCUCAGUGCAAUCCUGCUGUAGCCAGGGAGGGCAUCAGGGAUGGACUCGGUGCCCAAAAGCUGCUCAUUUUCUCAAGCUCCAUCCGAAGGUCUCAUGGGGUAUGUUCUCCCUCCUGAAAACCAUGCCACCAUCUCGCAGGAUGUUGUUUCUCUUCUCAGCUAAAGGGAGAACUAUCUUGAGUGCUGGCUUACCUUCAGUCCUGAUGUGCUUGCCAGUACCUGGGACAUCCAACCACUCCAGUAAUAAUUCCAACAGCAGUGGUACCAGAGUUGUUUCCAUGCCAUGCUGCCCGUUGGCACUCAGGGAAGAACAAACCAAAACAGAAAACUUGCAGCUACCACAUGGAGAUGGGCUGGAGAAGGAGAUAGCUGCUGUCACCAGACAUCUUGGCAAAUACCCAUUGUUUCUUAGGAAUGUGCUUAAAAAAAGACAAGGAAGUGGAGAAGAAACAGCUCCUUUUAUUUCCCUCCAAGCCCAUCCCUUUGGUCUUGAGUUAAUGGAAAACAUAUUUUUAUGUCCUGAAAGAUGCAAGAGACAUUUGUGGAUGUGCGCAUCGGAAAAGAAGCCCUGUCUGGCUGGGAGGAGAAGGAGCUGGUGCAAACCUGGACCUUGAAGAGACAGAGGGAGACAUGGACAAAGGCAGAGCUGCACAGUGAAUCUUUCCAUGAGAGGGAAGGGAAGAACAUAUUCUGCCCACAGAAGCAUA
rnacentral:lncRNA from 1 species